UACGUAGGGUGCAAGCGUUGUCCGGAAUUAUUGGGCGUAAAGCGCGCGCAGGCGGUCCUUUAAGUCUGAUGUGAAAGCCCACGGCUCAACCGUGGAGGGUCAUUGGAAACUGGGGGACUUGAGUGCAGGAGAGAAGAGUGGAAUUCCACGUGUAGCGGUGAAAUGCGUAGAGAUGUGGAGGAACACCAGUGGCGAAGGCGACUCUUUGGCCUGUAACUGACGCUGAGGCGCGAAAGC
rnacentral:rRNA from 1 species